rnacentral:lncRNA from 1 species
CCCACCUGUAAGAGGAGAAUAAUCAAAUAGCCUCUCCACUGGUGUGAGAAUUACAGGCUUCUCCAGACGUGGCUUGGAUAGAGUAACUCUUCAGCAGAAAGGUUCCGGAAGGUUCCUCACACUUCCUACCUACAGGCCAGUCACAUAUAGAAGAGGACUCCCCAGAUGCUGAAGAAAGAAAGCUCCCCAUUCGGAUGACUUGGGCCUUUGGUGUCAAGAGGAUAUUGAUGGCCUUUCUCCUCUACCCAGCUACUGCUGCUUCUGCAGAGCAGCCGGUGGGCUCCAGAAACUCAAUACCUCCCAGCUUUCCCGGGGAGAUGGGAAGAAUGUGUGCAUGUCUGUGAUGCCUGGAACUGC